GGGGGUGAAAGGAUUCGACGGAGGACGAAAGCGUGGUUGCUUUCAAUUUUCUCCGGAAGUGGGUUCAAUUCCCACCACCUCCAUUU
rnacentral:tmRNA from 1 species